rnacentral:rRNA from 1 species
AUGGUGCUGGCCGCUUUUGCACACUUCUCCUCUGUGCUAGGCGCGCCCGCAGAACGUAGUGCUACCCUCAACCUGGCGGCCAUUGGCCACCCUUCUUUUGACCUCUCCGCCCUGGAACAACCUUUCUCCUCCGACGAAAUCUGGGAGGCAAUCAAGCGGCUUCCCUCUGGCAAGGCGCCCGGUCCGGACGGAUUCACGGCAGAGUUCCUGCAUGCUUGCUGGCCCAUUAUCAAGGAUACUCUCUGCGAGGUUUUCGACAAGCUCUAUGCCCUAAAUGGCCAGGCCUUCCAGCGGCUUAACGAAGCUCUCAUCACCUUGCUGCCCAAACGGCCCGAUGCCUCGUCCCUCUUCGACUACCGCCCGAUCAGCCUCAUACACCUCGUGGCGAAGCUUUUCGCCAAGGUUCUGUCUCUCCGGUUGGCGCCGCGCCUUGGUGAGCUUGUUUCCUCUAACCAGAGCGCAUUCAUAGCUGGGAGGAGCGUCCACGACAAUUUCAUCCUCGUCCAACAAACCGCGCGCCAACUACACCAACUCAAGCACCCCCGAGUUCUCCUCAAGCUGGAUAUUGCGCAUGCCUUGGACUCGGUUUCCUGGCCAUUCCUACUUAAGGUGCUCCAUCACGUGAGUUUUGGUUUGCGAUGGCGUGAAUGGAUUUCCAUCCUGAUCUCGACGGCCUCGACGCGCGUCUUGAUCAAUGGAGUAUCGGGCCCUCCCAUCCCGCAUGGCCAAGGCCUUCGUCAGGGCGACCCCGUGUCUCCCAUGCUUUUCGUGCUCAUCAUCGACACGCUCAACACCCUCCUCCAGUUCACCGUCUAG